rnacentral:lncRNA from 1 species
AGGAACUGCCAUCCUGCCUGCCUCACCUGCAUGGAGAAUGCGCCGUUGCUGCUGGCAUCCUCCUGGACUGGCCAUGCAAGGGAGCAACCGCAGUCAGAGACCUUCUGUGAGAAGUCCAUGUGGAGGUUGGGGGAGGAAGGAGGAUGUGCACGGAUUAUCCCGCUUGAACUGAGACAACUGGCAGCCAUAUGUCCUCCCUUCAGAUACUGGAAGGCCGCUCUCAGAUCUCCCCGGAGCCUUCUCUCCUCCAGGCUGAACAGCUCCAGGUCUCUCAGCCUGUCCUCAUAGGAGAAGUGUUCCAUCCCUGGGAUCAUUUUUGUGGCCUUCCUCUGGACACAUUUCAACAGGUCCACAUCUCUCCUGUACUGAGGACUCCACAUAUGGAUGCAGUACUUCAGGUGACUUUUCACCAGUGCAAAGCAGAGGGGCAGGAUCACCUCCCUUGCCCUGCUGGCCAUGCUGCUUUUGAUGCAGCCCAGGUACGAUUGGCUUUUGUAGGCUGCGAGGACACAUUGCUGGCUCAUGUCCAGCUUGCCAUCCACCAGUAUCCCCCAGGCCUUUUCAGCAGGGUUGUACUCCAUCCUUACAUCCCCCAGCUUGUACUGAUAGCAGGGGUUGCCAUGACUCAGGUGCAAAACCUUGAACUUGGAUUUAUUGAACCUCAUGAGUUUCUCCUGGGCCUGAGCCUGUGUAGGUCUCUCUGA